rnacentral:lncRNA from 1 species
UGUCAUGGCAAGCUUCACUAUGGCAUUGUUGUAUCGAUGUCUAGACUUCCGCUUUAUUUUCACUGCUUAAACUCUGAAGAACUUUACUUUCUACAAUUUCGAACUCUUGUGGUGUAAUAAUUAAAGUGGGACCUAUGUUAAUCUACGUGAAUUGUUGUAAUCUCUGGACUCGCCUUCGUGUGAGUAUGCUUUGUUUCGAUCCAAGACAAGAGGUUUAUCAGGUAAACCCAACAGACUGCUAGGUUAACUUGAUUAAAGUGUCGGUUCGCAUGUGAGGUAAAGUUGAGUACACUUUAGCUAGGUUAAUUUGGAUGGUUCUGCCACAGCUGGUAUCAGAGCUGGGAAAUGCAUACACUAGAGAGAGCAACAAGC